UACGAAGGGGGCUAGCGUUGUUCGGAAUCACUGGGCGUAAAGCGUACGUAGGCGGAUCGUUAAGUCAGGGGUGAAAGCCUGGAGCUCAACUCCAGAACUGCCUUUGAUACUGGCGAUCUUGAGUCCGGGAGAGGUGAGUGGAACUGCUAGUGUAGAGGUGAAAUUCGUAGAUAUUAGCAAGAACACCAGUGGCGAAGGCGGCUCACUGGCCCGGUACUGACGCUGAGGUACGAAAGCGUGGGGAGCAAACAGG
rnacentral:rRNA from 1 species